UAAAAAACAAACAAAAA
rnacentral:sRNA from 1 species